rnacentral:snRNA from 1 species
GCUUCAGAAGCACAUACUAAAACUGGAAUGAUACAGAGAAUAUCAGCAUGGCCCCUGCACAAGGAUGACAUGUAAAAAGACACUGUUAAAUUACUA